rnacentral:rRNA from 1 species
UUUCAUAAAAAAAUUUUUAUGAUAGUACCUGCUCUAUGUUUAUUAUAAAUGGCCGCAGUAUCUUGACUGUGCGAAGGUAGCAUAAUUAAUUGCCUUAUAAUUGAAGGCUUGUUUGAAUGGUUUGACGUGGUAAACACAAAUGUUUAAAUUUUAUGUGAAAUUUAUUUAGAGGGCACAGAAUCCUCUAAUUUUAAUUAGACGGAAAGACCCCAGGAUCUUUAUUUUUUGUCUGGGGCAGAUUUGUAUUUUUCAUACUUAUUUUGAUCCUUAAAGGUAUAAUGAGUUAAGUUACCCUGGGGAUAACAGUGUAAUAGUUUAAUAGAGUUCUUAUCGAAUAAACUGUUUGCUACCUCGAUGUUGACUUAGGUAAAUAGAUCAGGCGCAGCAGUCUGAUUUUUUGGUCUGUUCGACCAGUUUUACCUCC